GGGAUUCUGAGGUUGCCUGCAGGCUCAGAGAAAAGGGUGCCAGGAUGGAUUGGCAAUCACUGCCCUGUUAAUAGUGGCAGCUCGCAUCUCGAAAGUGACCUCACGUCACAUUAAUAAAAAGAAGAAGAUCAAAGAAGAUCAAAGAGGAAGGGAUGGAUGAGGAAUUCAGAGACUGUGCCGGAGACAUUGAGUCCAUUCAUCCACCAACACAAAGCGCCAGAAUCUGUUUCCAGGGGGAGAAGAGAGAACAAGAGAAGAAUUCAGAGAAGAGGCAGCCGCUGAAAGAACUUAAUUUUUUAAAGUUAUAAAACAAUACAUGCUCAUUGUACACACUGCAGAUAAAACAGAAAAGUAUAAAAAAUAACAAACACCAUAUUUAAUACCAUGCUAAAAUGUAGUGGGCAUCCAUUAUUUGUCUACUCAGCCUCUCGUCCUUACUUUUCCCUACUCCUCAGGAAACUGAGGCUUUAUCUUUUCUAGUGAUUUGUUUUCCUGCUCCAACUUUAUGGUUUCCAUACAGAAACUUCCAUUUUGUUCCGUGAUUCUUAUAACCCUCCAGCUGCCCCCUACUGGCUACAGAUGAUUGGUCCAGGAGGAGCACCUGACCCAAGAUGGUCUAAUCAGAGC
rnacentral:lncRNA from 1 species